GAUCUACUCCCUCCGUUCGGAAUUACUUGUCGGAAAAUGAAUGUAUGUAGAUAUAUUUUAGUUCUAGAUACAUCCAUUUCCGAGACAAGUAAUUCCGAACGGAGGGAGUACAUC
rnacentral:pre_miRNA from 1 species